CCUACGGGGGGCUGCAGUGGGGAAUAUUGCGCAAUGGGCGAAAGCCUGACGCAGCGACGCCGCGUGGGUGAUGAAGGCCUUCGGGUUGUAAAGCCCUGUCGGGUGGAACGAACGAUCUGGCGGCGAAUAACCGCCGGGUGUGACGGUACCACCGAAGGAAGCCCCUGCUAACUACGUGCCAGCAGCCGCGGUAAGACGUAGGGGGCGAGCGUUGUUCGGAUGUGCUUGGCCUACAGCGCACGUAGGCUGCGAAAUCCCGCGGCUGAACCGGGGUCCCGCAUCCGAUACUGUCUGGCUCGAGUCUAGGAGAGGAAAGCGGAAUUCCCAGUGUAGCGGUGAAAUGCGUAGAUAUUGGGAGGAACACCGGUGGCGAAGGCGGCUUUCCGGACUAGUACUGACGCUGAGGCGCGAAAGCUAGGGGAGCGAACGGGAUUAGAUACCCCGGUAGUC
rnacentral:rRNA from 1 species